CCAAACUGUUGCCUCGGCGGGGUCACGCCCCGGGUGCGUCGCAGCCCCGGAACCAGGCGCCCGCCGGAGGGACCAACCAAACUCUUUUCUGUAGUCCCCUCGCGGACGUUAUUUCUUACAGCUCUGAGCAAAAAUUCAAAAUGAAUCAAAACUUUCAACAACGGAUCUCUUGGUUCUGGCAUCGAUGAAGAACGCAGCGAAAUGCGAUAAGUAAUGUGAAUUGCAGAAUUCAGUGAAUCAUCGAAUCUUUGAACGCACAUUGCGCCCGCCAGUAUUCUGGCGGGCAUGCCUGUCCGAGCGUCAUUUCAACCCUCGAACCCCUCCGGGGGGUCGGCGUUGGGGACCUCGGGAGCCCCUAAGACGGGAUCCCGGCCCCGAAAUACAGUGGCGGUCUCGCCGCAGCCUCUCCUGCGCAGUAGUUUGCACAACUCGCACCGGGAGCGCGGCGCGUCCACGUCCGUAAAACACCCAACUUCUGAAAUGUUGACCUCGGAUCAGGUAGGAAUACCCGCUGAACUUAAGCAUAUCAAAAGCCCGGAGGAAA
rnacentral:rRNA from 1 species